rnacentral:rRNA from 1 species
GAUAAACGCUGGCGGCGCACAUAAGACAUGCAAGUCGAACGAACUUAACCUUUAGUUUACUAAUGGAGCGGUUAGUGGCGGACUGGUGAGUAACACGUAAGCAACCUGCCUAUCAGAGGGGAACAACAGUUAGAAAUGACUGCUAAUACCGCAUAUGCCUUGAAUAUCACAUGAUAUAAAAGGGAAAGGAGCAAUCCGCUGAUAGAUGGGCUUGCGUCUGAUUAGAUAGUUGGUGGGGUAACGGCCUACCAAGUCGACGAUCAGUAGCCGGACUGAGAGGUUGAACGGCCACAUUGGGACUGAGAUACGGCCCAGACUCC